AAUAUGUUCAUAAUCAUAAAUAUCAUUAAUAUAAAAUACAAAAAUAUUCAUAAAAGCAUGACCAAGCAUUCAUGUACUCCAUAGAGACUGCAUAUAAAAACAACAAAAUAUGACUGGAAGCUAUAAAUCAUGACUAGGUAUGUAUCUAUCAAUGUAGCUUAAAACACAUUAAUUAAAAGUUGUCAGAAGUAUGAAGGAAAUUUAGCAAAUGCUAGCAUUAAAUUUUAACAAAAAUCUACUAGAAAAUGAUAGAUUCUGCUGACCAAAUAAUAGCAAGAAUGUGGACACCCUGAAUUCUCAUAUUUAACUAGUUAGGGUAAUAUGAGGAUGACAUAAUAUCAGAAAAGCAAUG
rnacentral:lncRNA from 1 species